rnacentral:rRNA from 1 species
GUGGGGAAUCUUGCGCAAUGGGCGAAAGCCUGACGCAGCCAUGCCGCGUGGAUGAUGAAGGUCUUAGGAUUGUAAAAUCCUUUCACCGGUGAAGAUAAUGACUGUAGCCGGAGAAGAAGCCCCGGCUAACUUCGUGCCAGCAGCCGCGGUAAUACGAAGGGGGCUAGCGUUGCUCGGAAUUACUGGGCGUAAAGGGAGCGUAGGCGGACAUUUAAGUCAGGGGUGAAAUCCCGAGGCUCAACCUCGGAACUGCCUUUGAUACUGGGUGUCUUGAGUAUGAGAGAGGUGUGUGGAACUCCGAGUGUAGAGGUGAAAUUCGUAGAUAUUCGGAAGAACACCAGUGGCGAAGGCGACACACUGGCUCAUUACUGACGCUGAGGCGCGAAAGCGUGGGGAGCAAACAGGAUUAGAAACCCUGGUAGUCC